AAUAUCGGGAAGGAACCCGAGGAACCGAGUCGAGGCUAAGGGACGACUCGUUUGAGAUAAGAGCAAGGAAAAAGCAGCAGAGUGAGCUGCUACUGAGUUGAAGAUCACAUCAAGCUUUUGUACGGGUAUUAUUUUAUACCCUUGUAGAUAAUUUUGAUGUAAAUAUGGAAAUGUUGUAUGUAUCAAUGUGGUUGAGCAGUUGUAAAUAAAUUGUAAUAAUAUUUUUAGAUUUUCUUCUGUAAAUUUAAUAUUUGUAUUUAUGAAUUUCUCAUUUUAUGCUUGUGAAUGGAGAUAUUAAAUAUUUUGAGAUGAGAAAUCUUGUUUUGUAUUGUGAAAUUA